GCUCCGCGCGCGCCGCCGUUUUCGCGCUCUAUCGCUCGGCUUUUUCACGUUUCCAGCGUCGCGUGCUUCGCGUCGGGGCUUUUAGUCAGUCUCGGUUUCGUCGUUGAACGGAUACAUCGGUCGCUGCGGUCACCAGUGACCGAUCGUGUGCUAAGCGACGUUAGCACGCUGUUCCGUACGUUCUAUGGUGAUAUCUAAUGGUAAUAGAGGAUCGCUUCUCAGUGGCGCCUCCCUGGUAGUCAGUGGUAACCGAUAUUGAAGGGAACGUUUUACGCUUGCAAUGAAUACAUUUAACAUUUAUCUAGAAGAAAUUUUAUUCAUGUGAAGCUAUUGUAAAAUAAAAAGUAGAUUAUUUAACAAUUUUAUACACGUGAAUUAUUUUAUUAGUAUUUCUUAGAUUUUUAUAAGUUCUAGUUGAAUAAUAACUUGAAAUUAGGUGAUUGUGAAUAUAUAAAUACAAUUCUAUUUCAACAGUAACAGAGGAAGACACGCAAAGUAAUACAAUAACAAGUAUGUACUUUGUUUCUUUAAGUCUAAUGUCUAGUAAUCCGAUCCAGGAACGAAAAAUAAAUAUUUCUGUUAAUAUAUAAUCUUCUUAUUCAUUCUCAUGAUCGCGCUCAUAAAUAUUGCGAUUUUAUAAAGUUUCUUAUUAUUAUCUUUUCGAAAGAUUUCUUAAAAUAUUAAAGAAAUAAAGCAUAACAUUGUUCUGUUAUGGAAAUAUUCUAGCGAUAUAUCUAUCGUUUCAAUGAUAAUGCGUCAUCUGGAUAUUAUGCUUUGAAAGGACGUUAUAAGUUGUAUGUAUCAUAUCAGUGCUACUAUUUUUACGUUCAAUGUUAUACGCUAGAAUACGAACAAUUACAUAAACCUUUGUUAAUAACAUCGGCAGAAUAUACCCGUUAAGCACAAUCGAUGGAACGAAUUCAAACUCGUUUGUGCUGUGAAAACUUUUAUCAUUAAUUUCAGAUAAAUUAAUUUCGUUUUACUAAAGGGAAAAAAGGGAUUAAAAAAAUAAAUUCUAGUAUUUAAAAAUUUUUUUAAUCCCUAAUAUCCAGUUUUCCAUACAUCUCAAUUAUCCUAACAAUAUUUUGCUUUUUUUAAUUCGCUUUUAAUUUAUCGCCUGGCUCUUUUCUUUAAUUUCAUGACUUAUACCAUUUUCCUUCAAGCCUCUCCAUUGUUUCAUCAUGCUUGAACAUAAUGCUUCUUUUCCUCCGUGCAGAACGCACGACUAUUAAGAACGAAGAAUUAGUAUUCCAGUAGUGAAUUCGCUCUCUGCGUUAUUUCCCAAUCCCCCCUCCCCCCUCUCUCUCCCUAGUUCAAGAGAUAGAGAACUGGUUAGAAUUACGAGCACGCCGGUGCAUUUAUCUCUCAUCGACUAUAACGUAAAACCAGUAUAUCUAGUCGGCAUAUCGUAUACACGUAGGGUUUGAGAGAGCUGCAGCAAACUGCUACCUAUAUACAGUCUCAAAGAGGAUAAAUCUUCGUUUUGACGUCUGCCUUUCGAUGUUUUGCUCGCGAUAUCGACGAUGUCACAGGAUAUCCAAACGAUGCACCAGAUUUUUUUUUUAUCUUUUAUUCGAUCGCAUAUUUUAUCCCAAUUAGAUUAUACACUCGAUAAGUUAUUUUCAAAAGUAAUGGAGAAGGUUUUUGAGAAAAACAAGUACAAUUAUUAGAAUAAAAACACAAAUAAAUAAACUGAAUAAAUUUCUAAAUAAAUUCUACGGAUGAGAAAUAUAUUUGAAUCCAAUCGGGAAAAAAUUAUUCGUAAUCAUUGCGAUAAUUACUACGUCCAUUGAUAAAAUACAUGCCAAUUCCAUCGAAUCACGAAUUUUCGAUACACAGAUCAUCAGCGGUUUAUUGCAAAUUCCAAAGGCGAUGAUCCAAAAUAAGCAUGAAGAAGGGAGCCAAGAACCCUGUUCCAAGAAUAUAAACCAAGCACACCCCGGAGACAUUUUUGCUCGAGUUCUUCUUGGAGUCACGUUUAUCGUUUUUUCUUCAUUUCUGUUUAUCCCUUUGCUACGUAUAUCGAGUGGAAAAAUUGUCAACAGCAAAAACAAAUAUAUUUUGACAACAAUAUCUGUAUCGAGUACGUUAAAUCGUCUUGCGUUAUCUAGCAAGGUUACAAUAUCGCGCAUGAAGGAAGUUUCUAUUAAGAUAACUAGCUUAGCCUUCCUAAAAAAAAAAAGACAUUUUAAUGGUAUUAACGGCAUUGAAAAAGUAACACGAUAGGCCAACUCUGAAGGCCAUUCCAUAAAAUCGUGUUCUAAAAUUAUUUUAACCGAUAGAUAAGACACGGAUGCAUAGCUUAAUUUCUUCUGCUCGAUCGUCGACUUUAGUCGACAGUCGCCGAACGAAUAUCCAGUCCGAUCGCCGAGUUUAGCCGAAAAUCUCCGAAUAUGCACGAACGGUCGUCGGACUUGGCGCGAAUGCUACCGAAAAAGGAAAACAUUUCGAGAGUCACAACAAUGACAUUCUAUAAUGAACUAUAUAUGUAAUAAGGCUAAUGAAAAGAAGAUACAUGUCAAUAGUUAAAAUAAUUAUAUCUAUUACCAUAAUUCCAUCGUUACAAGUAUUACAACUUAUUAGCCAAGCAACCCUCGUGAAACUCGUCUUAAUCAAACCUAACCUUGCUACGCCUUUUUUGGCUCGUGUCUGUCCGUCGUCUGCCCCGUUACCUUGGCCAGAUUCACGUGGACUUUGACACUGGGACGGGACAGUGCCGCGACGCCGCGCGUCGCGUCGCGGUCCUAUAGAGUAGAAACCAACUGACUUGGAUCGUGGAAAGAGCCCCACCAUCGGCGUGGGCUCGCAGGCCCACGGCACACGACUGACAGUUCCCAGUCAGCUGAUCGUCCACUGGGGGGGGUAAGGGGGCACAGAGCAGCAGAGCAGCAGCAGCAGCAGUAGCAGCAGCAGUAAUAGUAGUAGUAGUGGUAGUAGUAGUAGUAGAAGUAGUAGUAGCACGACCAGCAGCAGGAGGUGGUGGAGGUGGCGGAGGAGGAAGGUGGAAGAGGGGGGUGUGGAGAAGAAGGGAAGGAGGGCAGAGGGGUUGGCGACGCGCAGUCUGCCGUCGUCGUCGGGAUCAGCUGAUCGGUGGAGGUGUACUGGUAACUGACUGACUGUGAACUCUGAAUGAACGAACGGAUGAAGAAGUCUUCGCGUGCGUACACGUAUAGGGAGAGCUCUCGCCGGUGCCUCUCCCGGGGGAGGGGGAGAGAGCGAGCGCGUAUGCGCGCCUGCCUGCCUAACUAUGCGCCAGAGAGCACUCGCGAGGGAUCGGGCACAAGCGUUUAGUACCAAACGGAAAUAGUGGCCCGGACACGGGAUAGCCAGGAUCAUCUCUCCGUCCAACACCGCCCGCUUUCCAUCGCGUCCCUUCGUAAGGAGGAGCGUAAAAAUUGGAAAUAAACGCUUGGAAAAUCGAGAUCCAAGUUGUGUGAUACGCUUAUAGGUUAAGUGGAAUUGGUUCGAAGAGAAAUUUCUUUUGUUGUUUGCGGGAUGAAGGAGACGGACAGUGAAGAGAAAGGGGGUUGACAGCCAAAAUAAACUUAUCCUUGAGUUCCAACACGCGUUAAGGGGAAUCCCUCUCUUCAGAAGUAAGGAUGAGGAGCAGUGUACAGUUACAUCGUAGUUGUACAAGUUUUACUGUACUUUGUUUCCAAGUGUGACAAACUUUGGUUCACUUGGAUGAUAUAUGAAAUAUUAGAGGAAUAGAAGGAAACAAUACAGAUUAAGGGCACACAAGUCAGAGAAAUAUAAUGAUGGUUAGCUUUUAAAUGAUGAUACCGAUAAUAAUAGAGAGAAUUUGAAUUUAUAGAGAUUGAAACUUUCAAAUAUUUAAUGGAUAUUAAAAACUAGAUCUAAUUAUAUCACUUUUUUUUUAUUGUAUUGCCUGAUUUAUCGAAAUUUUGCAAUUGCAUUUCGAUAAAACAUCAAACUUUUAUUUUUGGUUCAUCGUGACUUUUAUAGCUGUUCAAUUAAAUUCGUUCAUCAGCCGAAAGAGUAGGAUGAUAGUAUCGAGAAGAUCGAUAUGCAAUUGCGUAAUAUGCCAUUAAACAUAUGCGUAUAUUUGUCUGCAAAAAUAGAUAGAAAAGAGUUCGUGUCGUACGCGGAAUAUAACGAUCCGAUCAAAAUAAAAUUUUACAUAAUUCUUGUUAAAUCGUACGUUAUUUCAAGCAUGAAAAAUUGAAUCUAUAUUUACACAUUAAUGAAAUUUUUUUACUCAUUUUACAAAAAUAUCGAAAUACAUAAAUUUAAUUAUGCGAGUGUAAUAUAUGAAAAGGAUGAUCAAUUCGUUGAAUUUAUCUUCAUUAAAUAUCUCUCUAGUUUCUAAAAAUAUGUAUCACCCGUUUUAUCGCAAGAAUUUCGCUUUUAAUUGUUCUUAAUUAAUUAUUCUUUGCUUAUAAUACGCGUUUGUCGUGUACAUUAUAGUCGUUCGAUUCUAAUGAACGCGUUUCUCGAUAUAGAAUAGAAGAGAAGCUGCGUACGCGUAAUAAACGUGCAUGUAGUCAUCGACAAUUGAAUACGCAAUAUGCGGUUAAGAGGCCAUGUAAUCCACGACGACAGAAGAACAGCCGCUCCUUGUUCUGCCGGAGACGAUUGCAACGCCAUUACAGACGCUGUAACGAUAUAGUAACUACUCAGACAGGAUCUGUUAGUGCCGCUGUUCGUACACUCUGGAAGAAACCAGUCGUCUUCACCGAUUACAUCGAACGAGCAUAGUUUUCAAAUAAAUUCACACGUCGUUUGUAAAUGUUUUAACGUUAGACUACCGAUUGGUGAUGUGUAUCUAAAUAUAUUAUACACAUUAUAUGAUAAAAGUAAAUAAAUUGUUAAAGUAAAUCAAUGUUAAUUUAGUUAAAGACUAUUUGCAUGUUUUUUGUAACUGAAAAAAUUUGGUAACGAGAAUUUUGACGGAUUUGAUGAUAAAUGUGCUGAAAAUAUUUUACUAUUUUUUUAAUGCUCUGCAUACUGAUCGUCGUUAGAAGAUAAUAAUUGAAAAUUUUAUAUAAUUUUUCGCGACUGAUUUUGAAAUGCACAUCGAUCAAGCAUUCUUUAUAAGUGUAUACUAUAUACGAGUUGAUAAGUAUAUACUAUAGGAACUCGUGCUUUUAGAUUUUAUUUUUUUUGGAUUUAAUGAUUCGCUUUUAAAUAGUUAAAAGAAAAGUACGGAGAUAAAUCUUUUUUUAGCAGAUUCGAACGUUCGACUAUUAAAUCUGAAGGUUUUCACAACAUACGGUAUGCACAUAAAACGACCAGCAUAGUGUACAUUAAUAAUAUUAUCAACGUACACGUAAGAGAUUAUUUCAAGAAUAUAGAAGUUCGAGGCAUUGGCCGACGGUUGAGACACAUUUGUGAAUUCAUGCGGGUGCCACGUUGUACGCGCAGUUGUCGUAUAAACCAAACAAUGGCCACACUCUUUCUGUCUACACUAACACGUUACAUAAGAUAAACUAAUUUACUAGAGUCACAGUGUGACGCGGUAUGCUCCAAUGAGAUAUCACAUCCGUCAGAUGUAAUACAUUUACGGGGUCAGUCAUAAUUUGCAAAAAUUUAUUUUUAAGAAAAAUGUGAAAAAUAUCUGGAAUGUUUAAUAUUCGUUUCCAUCGAGUGAAUAUAUUUGAUAAUGAGAAGUGAAUAAUGUCGAUAAAAUAAAAUCAAACGUCAGUGAAAUAAGUGAAAUACCGUAUAUUCAAUUUCAGAAGUUUUAUUCAGAAUAUAAUUUGUUACAGUUUCGGUCGUUCUCAAAAUGUCACCUCAUUCGAACAGGUAACCCUCUUGAUGGUAUCUAAAAAUCAUACAAAUUUCAAUUCUCAAUCUAUUAAAGAUAAUGUAUAUUUGAUAAUGAAAAUAUUACUCUUUUAAUCGCAAAAAUAUUAAUGCAAAAAUUAUAUUGUGGGAAUUCGAUUAUUCUUAAAGCGAACGCUACAUUUAUAUCAAAUAACUAUACCGAUUUUUAUGAUUAUUCAUUAAUGAUUUUAAUUUUUUUCUUUAAUGCAUAUAACAAUAUAUAUUUCAUUGAUUUAUUAAAAUUUUACACAUCAUAAUAAUUUAUAUUUUUAAUUUCAUUAUCAUUUAUCGAAAAUAUUAAUGCAUACAAAAUAUAUAUUGUAAUGUUAAUCUAUGUAUAAAAAUAUAUAAAUAAUUCUAAGCAUAA